UGGGGAAUUGUUCGCAAUGGGCGCAAGCCUGACGACGCAACGCCGCGUGGAGGAUGAAGAUCUUCGGGUCGUAAACUCCUGUCGAAUGGGACGAAUGGAUCGUGUGUGAACAACACACGGUCGUGACGGUACCGUUAAAGGAAGCCCCGGCUAACUCCGUGCCAGCAGCCGCGGUAAUACGGGGGGGCAAGCGUUGUUCGGAAUUACUGGGCGUAAAGGGCUCGUAGGCGGCCAACUAAGUCAGACGUGAAAUCCCUCGGCUUAACCGGGGAACUGCGUCUGAUACUGGAUGGCUUGAGGUUGGGAGAGGGAUGCGGAAUUCCAGGUGUAGCGGUGAAAUGCGUAGAUAUCUGGAGGAACACCGGUGGCGAAGGCGGCGAUCCUGGACCAAUACUGACGCUGAGGAGCGAAAGCCAGGGGAGCAAACGGGAUUAGAUACCCCGGUAGUCCUGGCCCUAAACGAUGAAUGCUUGGUGUGACGGGUAUCGAUCCCUGUCCGUGCCGAAGCUAACG
rnacentral:rRNA from 1 species